rnacentral:rRNA from 1 species
GACAGAGGGUGCAAACGUUGUUCGGAAUUACUGGGCGUAAAGCGCGUGUAGGCGGCCCUGUAAGUCGGGUGUGAAAUCCCACGGCUCAACCGUGGAAGUGCAUUUGAAACUACAGGGCUAGAGUUCUGGAGAGGAAGGUGGAAUGCUUGGUGUAGAGGUGAAAUUCGUAGAUAUCAAGCGGAACACCGGUGGCGAAGGCGGCCUUCUGGACAGUGACUGACGCUGAGACGCGAAAGCGUGGGAG